rnacentral:rRNA from 1 species
GUCGAGCGGAUGAAGGUAGCUUGCUACUGGAUUCAGCGGCGGACGGGUGAGUAAUGCCUAGGAAUCUGCCCGGUAAUGGGGGAUAACGUUUCGAAAGGAACGCUAAUACCGCAUACGUCCUACGGGAGAAAGCAGGGGACCUUCGGGCCUUGCGUUAUCGGAUGAGCCUAGGUCGGAUUAGCUAGUUGGUGAGGUAAUGGCUCACCAAGGCGACGAUCCGUAACUGGUCUGAGAGGAUGAUCAGUCACACUGGAACUGAGACACGGUCCAGACUCCUACGGGAGGCAGCAGUGGGGAAUAUUGGACAAUGGGCGAAAGCCUGAUCCAGCCAUGCCGCGUGUGUGAAGAAGGUCUUCGGAUUGUAAAGCACUUUAAGUUGGGAGGAAGGGCAGUCAGUUAAUACCUUGCUGUCUUGACGUUACCAACAGAAUAAGCACCGGCUAACUUCGUGCCAGC